CCAGACUCCUACGGGAGGCAGCAGUGGGGGAUAUUGCACAAUGGGGGAAACCCUGAAGCAGCAACGCCGCGUGGAGGAUGAAGGUUUUCGGAUUGUAAACUCCUUUUGUUAGAGAAGAUAAUGACGGUAUCUAACGAAUAAGCACCGGCUAACUCCGUGCCAGCAGCCGCGGUAAUACGGAGGGUGCAAGCGUUACUCGGAAUCACUGGGCGUAAAGAGUGCGUAGGCGGGGUAAUAAGUCAGAUGUGAAAUCCUGUAGCUUAACUACAGAACUGCAUUUGAAACUGUUACUCUGGAGUGUGGGAGAGGUAGGUGGAAUUCUUGGUGUAGGGGUAAAAUCCGUAGAGAUCAAGAGGAACACCGGCGGCGAAGGCGGCCUGCUGGACCGUGACUGACGUUGAGGCUCGAGAGCGUGGGGAGCAAACAGGAUUAGAUACCCUCGUAC
rnacentral:rRNA from 1 species